GUUGGGGUGCUCACGGCCGGCCGUGACCAAUUUGGUGCCCUAGGCAAGAUUUUAGCUGGUGCCCCUUGCAUUGCAGCCAAUUCCAUCACCCGCCAUUGUGUUCAUACACUCACACAGUAGCUGCAUAGC